rnacentral:rRNA from 1 species
UGAAUGGCUCGGCUCAAGCGCUGAAGAGGGGCGUGCCAAGUUGCGAGAAGCCUCGGGUAGGUACAAGGAGCCUUUGAACCGAGGAUGCCCUAAUGGGAACUCUUGACCCUUCGGGGUCGGUCCUGCUGCGUUAGUAGUGGGAUUGGGAACGCUCUGAAUUGAAACAUCUUAGUAGGAGCAGGAAGAGAAAUCAAUAAACCCUUUCUUAAAAGCCUUUCUUUAGAAGAAAGCCUUUACGGAAAGAAUCUUUUGGUUCUUUUGGUAAAGAUUUUCUUUUUAAGAAAAUGUUUUAAGAAAAGGUUUUGAGAUGCCGUGAGUAACGGCGAGUGAAAACGGCGGAGUUCAAACCGAAUCCCUCUCGAAAGGGAAGGGAGAUGUGGUGUUGUAAGUGGGGGUCGUGUAAGCCCGACCUGUUGAAGCCGAAGUCCGCUGGAACGCGGCGCCAAAGAGAGUGAAAACCUCGUAGGCGUAAGGCAGAGGGCUUGACUCUUUACUUGAGUACCGUAGGUUGAAUUUCCUGCGGGAAUCUGGGGGCUACCAACCUCCAAAACUAAACACGUCUUGAGACCGAUAGCGGAAUAGUACCGUGAGGGAAAGCUGAAAAGUACCCCAAAUAAGGAGGUGAAAAGAGCCUGAAAUUAAAUGGUGAUGGAGUGAUGCGGCUUGAAAGUGACGAAGGGGUCCGAAGGAAAAUCCCGCGAGGGGUGAGUACGAGGGUUCUGGAACAGGGUCGCAUCGUACGUUCUGGAGAACGGGCCAGGGAGUAUAUUUCAGUGGCGAGGCUAACCUGAAAAAGGGGAGCCGCAGGGUAACCAACAAGUUCGCAUCCGCAUCUUUUCGAAAGGAAGGUAGGGAGAGGAACGACGUACGAACUGCGUGGAGUCAUUGGAAUAUGACCCGAAGCCGGGUGAUCUAAGCGUGGGCAGGCUGAAGUUCUCCGAAAGGAGGAUGGAGGGCCGAACCGGUGAUGACUUGCAAAUCUCUCGGAUGACCUGCGUUUAGUGGUAAAAGGCCAAUCAAACCCGGCGAUAGCUGGUUCCCCUCGAAACAUACCAAAGUAUGACCCGACUGGAGAUUGAUGACGUUGUAGAGCUACCGAUUGGAGGACCCGGGGUCGAAAGACCUCGCCCUCCUGUCAAACUCCGAAGGCGCCAUCGUUGUAGAAGGUCGGAGUCCGGGCUGGGGGGUAAGCUCCCAGUCCGCGAGGGAAAUAACCCAGACUGAGGUUAAGGUCCCCAAGUGUCGGCUAAGUGUUAACACUAAAGAGCGUUGCAGACCACAAACAGCUGGGAGGUUAGCUUAGAAGCAGCUACCCUCUAAGGAAAGCGUAAUAGCUCACCAGCCGAGGUCUGUAGCAUCGAAAAUGGAAGGGACUCAAGCCGACCACCGAGACCCCAGGGCUCCUGCUUAAGGCGGGAGAUCCGGUAGAGGGGCGUUCUGCUUGGGCGGAAGCAUCUUCGUGAGAAGGUGUGGACCGGGCAGAAACGAGAAUCCUGGCGAUAGUAGCAGCAAAGUCGGGUGAGAAUCCCGACCGCCGAAGGGGCUAGGUUUCCUUGGCAAUGUUCGUCAGCCAAGGGUUAGCCGAUCCUAAGAUGUGUCCCAACUGGAGCACAUCAAAUGGGAAGCAGGUUAAUAUUCCUGCGCCGUCCAGCCUACGUGUUUUAAGCACACCUGACGCUUCUGGGUAGAUUGAGCAGUGUCGUCGCACUGUCCAAGCACCGAAGCCCGUGGAGAGCCGUAACGGCGAGAAGCGGGCGAAUGCGUUAAGGCUUCCGCAAGGAAGUCAGUCAAGCCCAGGAGCCCGUGAAAAAGGCGGCUGGUCGUUCGUACCGAGAACCGACACAGGUGCCCCUAGCUGAGAAGGCUCAGGCGUGUCGGGGAAAUCCAGCUAAGGGAAAUCGGCAAAAUCGCUCUGUAACUUCGGGAGAAGGAGUGCCUGCCUUGCGAGAGGCAGGUCGCAGUGACAAGGGAAGGCUAACUGUCUAAUAACAACACAGGUGACCGCAAGCCCGUAAGGGUUAGUACGGUCACUGACUCCUGCCCAGUGUAGGUAUCUGAAAGCCCUUUUCAAGGGGUUGAAGGACCUAUAAACGGCGGGGGUAACUCUGACCCUCUUAACCUCCUCUUCUGCUACUAAGCACGAAUUUGAGAAAAGAACCCUUUUUCUUUUCGUUUUUCAUUGCUUUUUUACCUCCUAUAAAAUAGCCAAGCAGAAGCAAAGCUAAGCGAAUUUAAGGCAAGCUAAGCAGAAGUAAGGCACUCAGCAGCGGAGGAGGGGAGAAAGGUAGCGUAGUACCUAGCCGCUUAAUUGGCGGCUUGCACGAAAGAAGGAAUGAGCCUUCCACUGUCCCGAGCUGGAAACCGGCGAAAUCAUCGUCCCGGCGAAAAGACCGGGGACCCCCAAGGGGAAGCGAAGACCCCGUGGAGUUUUACAGCAGUCUGCCGUUGAGCUACGACUUCGGAUGUAGAGCGUAGGUAGGAGGCAGUGAAGUGCCUUCGCCAGGAGGCACAGAGCCGCCAAUGGAACACUACCCUUCCGAAGUUGUGACCCUUACUCUUGCUUGACGCGAGAGAACACCGGUAGGUGGGCUGUUCAGGUGGGGCGCCAUGCCCUUGAAAAAAUAUCGAGGGCGCCCUAAGGUUGACUCAGGUGGGUCAGAAAUCCA